UGGCGAACGGGUGAGUAAUACAUCGGAACGUACCCAGUAGCGGGGGAUAACCUCUCGAAAGAGAGGCUAAUACCGCAUACGACCUACGGGUGAAAGCGGGGACCGCAAGGCCUCGCACUAUUGGAGCGGCCGAUGUCGGAUUAGCUAGUUGGCGGGGUAACGGCCCACCAAGGCGACGAUCCGUAGCUGGUCUGAGAGGACGACCAGCCACACUGGAACUGAGACACGGUCCAG
rnacentral:rRNA from 1 species